rnacentral:rRNA from 1 species
AUACGUAGGGGGCGAGCGUUGUCCGGAAUGAUUGGGCGUAAAGGGCGCGUAGGCGGCCUGUUAAGUCUGGAGUGAAAGUCCUGUUUUCAAGAUGGGAAUUGCUUUGGAUACUGAUGGGCUUGAGUGCAGGAGAGGUUAUCGGAAUUCCCGGUGUAGCGGUGAAAUGCGUAGAGAUCGGGAGGAACACCAGUGGCGAAGGCGGGUAACUGGACUGCAACUGACGCUGAGGCGCGAAAGUGUGGGGAGCAAACAGGAUUAGAUACCCUGGUAGUCCACACUGUAUACGAUGAAUGCUAGGUGUAAGAGGUAUCGACCCCUUUUGUGCCGGAGUUAACACAAUAAGCAUUCCGCCUGGGGAGUACGACCGCAAGGUUGAAACUCAAAGGAAUUGACGGGG